GCGCAGCAGGCGCGAAUCCUCUACAAUGCGCGAAAGCAUGAUAGGGGGACUCCAAGUGUCUCUCUAAAGAGAGACUUUUGUAGUAUGUAAAAAGUACUACGAAUAAGGGGUGGUCAAGACUAGUGCCAGCCUCCGCGGUAACACUAGCAGCCCGAGUGGUAGUCAUUUUUAUUUGGCUUAAAGCGUCCGUAGUCUGAUUAGUAAGUUCUCUGUGAAAUCCUGUUGCUUAACAAUAGGGCUUGCAGAGAAUACUACCAAUCUUGGAGCCAGGAGGGGUUAGGGGUAUUCCGGUGGUAGCGGUGAAAUGCUAUAAUCCCCGGAGGACCACCAAUGGCGAAGGCACCUAACUGGAAUGGGCUCGACGAUGAGGGACGAAAGCUAGGGGAGCAAACCGGAUUAGAUACCCCGGUAAU
rnacentral:rRNA from 1 species